CAGUAGCCGCGGUAAUGCGUAGGUCCCGAGCGUUGUCCGGAUUUAUUGGGCGUAAAGCGAGCGCAGGCGGUUAGAUAAGUCUGAAGUUAAAGGCUGUGGCUUAACCAUAGUACGCUUUGGAAACUGUUUAACUUGAGUGCAAGAGGGGAGAGUGGAAUUCCAUGUGUAGCGGUGAAAUGCGUAGAUAUAUGGAGGAACACCGGUGGCGAAAGCGGCUCUCUGGUCUGUAACUGACGCUGAGGCUCGAAAGCGUGGGGAGCGAACAGGAUUAGAUACCCCUGUAGUCCCUGUCUCUUAUACA
rnacentral:rRNA from 1 species